AAGACUAUAGACCUGCGGAGUACCUGCGGAAGGAUCAUUACAUGGCGGAGGAGGUGGGCACCUAGUAAAAACAAAACCCUAGGUGUGUUGCCUACCACGCUUUCUACCCUUGUCUAUUUGCACCUUUUGUCGUUCCCUCGGUGGGUCUUGAACCUGCCGGCGGCAACUUUCAAAAACCUUUUGUAGUUAGUAUCUAAUUCUUCUGAUCAAAUAUUCAAUCGUUACAACUUUCAGCAAUGG
rnacentral:misc_RNA from 1 species